AACGAACGCUGGCGGCAUGCCUAACACAUGCAAGUCGAACGAGACCUUCGGGUCUAGUGGCGCACGGGUGCGUAACGCGUGGGAACCUGCCCUUAGGUUCGGAAUAACUCCCCGAAAGGGGUGCUAAUACCGGAUAAUGUCUUCGGACCAAAGAUUUAUCGCCUUUGGAUGGGCCCGCGUUGGAUUAGCUAGUUGGUAGGGUAAAAGCCUACCAAGGCGACGAUCCAUAGCUGGUCUGAGAGGAUGAUCAGCCACACUGGGACUGAGACACGGCCCAGACCCCUACGGGAGGCAGCAGUGGGGAAUAUUGGACAAUGGGCGAAAGCCUGAUCCAGCAAUGCCGCGUGAGUGAUGAAGGCCUUAGGUUGUAAAGCUCUUUUACCCGGGAUGAUAAUGACAGUACCGGGAGAAUAAGCGCCGGCUAACUCCGUG
rnacentral:rRNA from 1 species